rnacentral:tmRNA from 1 species
UCACUUUAAUUUAAGUCCGAAUCACCCUAUAAUCACAGUGCCGGUUAGCCGGCUAUGGUGAUAAACGGAUUGUGUAAUAAGCGCAGUGGACCCGGGGGCAGUAC